AUUUUGUCACAAUAGCUUUCAGAGCAUUCUAUGGUACAGCACAAAUGUUCCUGGAUUCUCUACUAAGCUUUAUUUCCCCUUCAAAAUUUACAACACCAAACAACAUCUGGAUUCUAUUUCAGUCUGAGCAAUGGGCAGAGGAGAACCCAGAACCAAAUUGAGAAACAUGUCAGUGGCAGCUAUCGCCUUUCACCAUUCACUUGCCAUGUUUUCUGUUUGGAGGGGAGAAAAACGUAGAUUAAAUUCUCAACAUUGUUUCAUUGGACACAACCACCAAGUGACUGCUAGUUCGUUCAGUCUGUAGGUCUGUGAUGUUUCUCUCUUAAUUUCUACACUUUUGUCAUUUUGAUCUGAUACAGAUUUGAAGAGUCAAGUUUAGCCCUAGUUAGUGUGGUGGCCCCUAACCUAGGUCCUCGGCAUGUGUAACUAGUAUGGGGGUCGGGGGGAAUGGAAGUCCAUGGAGAGGAUUAGGAGGUUUCAUGCGCUUGAAUGCAGGCAACAAACCAUCAUACUGUCAGCAAUGGUUUGUUGUUGCUGCUGCUGCGAUUAAUAUUAUUGCCAUCAUUGUUAUUAUUAACAUAGUGUUUCAGAUCUUUUGAAAUACACUUAGGAAUUAUUUGACCUCACAUGACCUCUUUUACCGUAUCACAAAUGUACAUUUUUAAUGUUUUGAUAAUUGCGUUUCAGUGUGACUUGUUUCAUCUUUUUUCUUUUUAAAGAUUUUAUUUAUUUAUUCAUGAGAAACAGAGAGAGAGAGACAGAGAGAGAGAGAGAGAGAGAGAGAGAGAGGCAGAGACACAGGCAGAGGGAGAAGCAGGCUCCAAGCAAGGAGCCUGACAUGGGACUCAAUUCUGGGUCUCCAGGAUCACACCCUGGGCUGAAGGUAUUGCUAAACUGUUGAGCCACCUGGGCUGCCCUGUUUCAUCUUGUAGUCCUAGGUCUUUCAUUUGGGGAAUUUAGCAAUUUAUUCUGAGAAUACACUUGUAGUUUCCACCAGCCUGCCAAAGAGGUCCAUGGCAUAAAAGUGUAAAGCCACCAGAGUUAGAGGGUCAUUUAACAGAAAAAUAUGGGAAUCUGUAUUAUUAUUAUUAUUACUGUCAAGAAUAGUCUCAGCAAAUGUAUGUCAAAGUCCUGUCACUCAGACAUUUCCUUCAUACACAGCAGACUGAAAUUGCAAGGUUAUACUCACAAAAAUACACCCUUAAACUAAACAUAAGUGACCAAGCCUGACGACUAAGGAAAUUGGAGCACAGUAGCCCCCCUUCAUCUGUGGGAGUAUACACCAAGACCUCUAGUGGGUAUCAGUAACCACUGACAGUACUAAACCCUAUAUAUACUAUGUUUUUCUUAAUAUACACACACCUAUGAUAAAGUUUAACUUAUAAAUAAUGCAUAGUAAGAGAUCAACAAUAACUGAUAAUAAAAUAGAACAAUUAUAACA
rnacentral:lncRNA from 12 species